rnacentral:rRNA from 1 species
GAUGAACGCUGGCGGCGUGCCUAAUACAUGCAAGUCGAGCGAACAGACGAGGAGCUUGCUCCUCUGACGUUAGCGGCGGACGGGUGAGUAACACGUGGAUAACCUACCUAUAAGACUGGGAUAACUUCGGGAAACCGGAGCUAAUACCGGAUAAUAUAUUGAACCGCAUGGUUCAAUAGUGAAAGACGGUUUUGCUGUCACUUAUAGAUGGAUCCGCGCCGCAUUAGCUAGUUGGUAAGGUAACGGCUUACCAAGGCAACGAUGCGUAGCCGACCUGAGAGGGUGAUAGGCCACACUGGAACUGAGACACGGUCCAGACUCCUACGGGAGGCAGCAGUAGGGAAUCUUCCGCAAAGGGCGAAAGCAUGACGGAGCAACGCCGCGUGAGUGAUGAAGGUCUUCGGAUCGUAAAACUCUGUUAUUAGGGAAGAACAAAUGUGUAAGUAACUAUGCACGUCUUGACGGUACCUAAUCAGAAAGCCACGGCUAACUACGUG